ACUUAGUUUCUGUAAGACGUUACUUUUAUGAUAUGAGUAGAACUGAAACUGGGAUACGGUAAAACAUGUAUACUAUAUGAAUGUUGAAUCUGAAACUAUAUGAUAAAGGCUGAUGUAACUCGAGGAUCUGAAUAUACAGUCAUACGGAGCACGAAUGCAUAAACACACAGAACUAAACAUAAUAUGUGCCAAGCUUAUCUGAUUAACUGAAUGACUGAUAGUUGAAUACUGGUCAUGUAAGGCUGAACUAUACAUAGUCUGAAUAACUGGGCUGAAAUUGUAGAGUACUAUGCUUAUGAGGUAAGGACUAUCAACCCUAGUUGGAAGGGUGUCAGUACCGUGCCACGAGUACUAACGCUGGCUGUGUAGAUCCACUAACUGAUAUGUUGUCCCGAAGGACUAAGGGUGUCCAGCAUAAACUAACAGGUGACUCCUCAUAACCUGCACUGGCACGUAGUUAUAAAAUACACGAACUGCUACUAACGACUCUGCCUAACUGACGGGGAAGAUGUCAUCCCUGUAUUCGCUUAGUGCUAAAUCCUACUCCCAGCUGAAUGACACUGGAAAACUGACUGGUGUAUGAACUGAAGCUGAUAAGCUCAGGUCAUGGUAUUCUGAAAAUGACAGUGCAUAUGGAUUCUAAGGAAUUAUUAAUGUAUAAAUUGAUACUGGAACUGAAACUGGACUGAGUUUAACUGAAUAUGACGCUAACUGAAUGACAAGGCUCAUGGUUUAUCUGAAAAAAUUGAGACUAAGUAAACGGCUAAGUUUUUGAGUAUUCAUAACCCCCAGGACUCGAUAGCAAUAACAAUAGACACAUGAGAGCAUUUGAAACCAUAAUAAGUAAGCAUUAUUUAAAUAAACCCAUCACUUGGGCAUUUCAUCAAGAACAUGGAGAUUAAUACUUUAACAUGAGGCAAUUCACCAAACACAUGAGGAUCAUGAACUUUCACAUGGGGAUAUCUUAAACAUGGGAGCAUAGCACGAUUACAUAACUAAAAUCAUGAAAUUAGGAAUUCACAUGAAGUUCACUUGAAAUAGGACAUGGGCGUGUAAUUAUACAUGUAAAGAUCAUAGCUUGAACCUAAGAAUGCCUUAAGCAUGGGUGAACAAUAGAGUUACAUGGAAAAAUUCAUAACAUGGGAAUUCAUCUUGAAAUUGAUUGAACAUGAUAUGGGAAUUUCAUCAAACAUGUGGAAAUCAUGAAUUUAAGACAUGAGAAUAUUGCUAAAAAUAAUGAAUAUAGGAUCUAUCAUGGAAUUCACUCGAAUAAAUCAUGGAAAACUCAAAUUCAUAGCAUGGGGAAUUCAAAAUCCUGCAUGGAAUCACACAUGGGCUGAAAUUGAUUAAAAUCACCACGAAAACAUGAAAUUCACUCAUUCUUAAACAUACAAAAUAUCAUAAUAAUGAAAAAUCCAUUCUUUAAUUAAAAGAAAAGGGUUUUUGUCCUCCAUGGGUGAAAGGAGACCCAUGGAUGAAUUCCCACAUACCUUAAAAUAUUAAUUCUUGAAGAAGAAACACAAUCUUGAAAGCUUUCUUGAAUUGGGAAGCUUGAUUCUUGAUGGUUCUUGAAGAGGAUUGAUUAGGGUUUGUUCUUGAGAGUAAAAUAGGAUAAUGAGGGAAACUAAUUCCCUAAUGGAGACUUAAUGUCGUGUAUUUACAACCUGGGUUAAGGUGGGAAAAGACCACAUUGCCCCUCAUUCAUUUAAACCAAAAAUUCAUAACCCAUAUCCGAUUUUGCACCUUACUGCGAUGCGGUAACAUUGCGACAACUUACUGCCUCACACAAAAACUGUUAUAACUUUUCACUCGGUUAUUGGAUUAAGGCAAAUUGGUAACGUUGGAAAGAUGAUUCAAUUAUAUACAAUUUGGUGGGUCGUUAUCUGAGAAAUUAUACAUAUAUCAAAAGUUAUACAUAUUUAAAGUAGACCCUUGUAGAAUCAAAUACCAAAUUUUGAACGAAUAUAAGGUUCUUAGCUCAACUUGGCUCUAAGUGAUUUCUAGGAACAUUAUUCACCUAAUAAAUACUUAAAACACUAGGAUAAAGGUCAUGACACAUGCAUUUCAAAUAAUGGAUCAAUCACAUAGAAAAUACACCUUCACCGCGAUGCGGUGGAAUCACGUUGAUCUACUGAAAUUUUCUAUUCAAAGGACGAGUAUGAUUUAGGGGCUUGGCGCGAAGCGAGCUUAUCACGUUGAGCCACUGGAAAUGGACGAGUGUGAUUUUUCACCUUGACGCAAUGUGGCGCCAUCGUUAAGGUGGGAAAAGACCCCAUUUCCCCUCAUUCAUUUAAACCAAAAAUUCAUAACCCGUAUCCCGAUUUUGCACCUUUCUGCGAUACGGUAACAUCGCGGCAACUUACUGCCUCACACAAAAGUUGCUAUAGCUUUUCGCUCGGUUAUUAGAUUAAGGAGAAAUUGGUAUCGUUGGAAAGAUUAUUCAAUUAUAUACAAUUUGGUGGGGGUCUUUAGCUGAAAAAUUCUACGUAUAUCAAAAGUUAUACACAUUUAAAGUAGACCUUUGUAGAAUUGAAUGCCAAAUUUUGGACGAAUCUAAGGUUCUUAGCUCAACUUGGCUCUAAGUGAUUUCUAGGAACAUUAUUCACCUAAUAAGCACUUAAAACACUAGGAAAAAGUUCAUGACACAUGCAUUUCAAAUUAUGGAUCAAUAACAUGGACUAUACACCUUCACUGUGAUACGGUGGAAUCGCGUUGAGCUACUGGAAUUUGCUAUUCAAAGGACGAGUACGAUUUAGGGGCUUGGCGCGAAGCGAGCUUAUCACGUUGAGCCACUGGAAAUGGACAAGUGCAAUUUUGCACUUCACCGCGAUGCGGUUUGAUCGUGGUGAGCCACUAGAAAUACAAUCCGAACACGGUUCAAACCUCGUCCAAAAAUUUUAAAAAUUUCCCG
rnacentral:lncRNA from 1 species